rnacentral:rRNA from 1 species
CAGCCCUUGACAUCCCGGUCGCGGAGAGCAGAGACGCACUCCUUCAGUUCGGCUGGACCGGAGACAGGUGCUGCAUGGCUGUCGUCAGCUCGUGUCGUGAGAUGUUGGGUUAAGUCCCGCAACGAGCGCAACCCUCGCCCUUAGUUGCCAUCAUUUAGUUGGGCACUCUAAGGGGACUGCCGGUGAUAAGCCGGAGGAAGGUGGGGAUGACGUCAAGUCCUCAUGGCCCUUACGGGCUGGGCUACACACGUGCUACAAUGGCGGUGACAGAGGGAUGCAAAGGGGCGACCCUUCGCAAAUCUCAAAAAGCCGUCUCAGUUCGGAUUGGGGUCUGCAACUCGACCCCAUGAAGUUGGAAUCGCUAGUAAUCGCAGAUCAGCACGCUGCGGUGAAUACGUUCCC